rnacentral:rRNA from 1 species
GUAGGGAAUAUUGGGCAAUGGUCGGAAGACUGACCCAGCCAUGCCGCGUGCAGGAAGACGGCCCUCUGGGUUGUAAACUGCUUUUAUCUGGGAAGAAAAAGGCCAUGCGUGGCAAAUUGCCGGUACCAGAUGAAUAAGCACCGGCUAACUCCGUGCCAGCAGCCGCGGUAAUACGGAGGGUGCGAGCGUUGUCCGGAUUUAUUGGGUUUAAAGGGUGCGUAGGCGGCUGAUUAAGUCAGCGGUGAAAGACUUCGGCUUAACCGGAGCAGUGCCGUUGAUACUGGUUGGCUUGAGUGUCGGAGGGGUACAUGGAAUUGAUGGUGUAGCGGUGAAAUGCAUAGAUACCAUCAGGAACACCGAUAGCGAAGGCAUUGUACUGGCCGACAACUGACGCUGAUGCACGAAAGCGUGGGGAUCGAACAGGAUUAGAAACCCGGGUAGUCC